GCUUGGGAUGCGCCAUUGGUGGUACUGCCCCUUUUUGUGGGUCCUUCCAUUGUGAAUUGACGGAUCGUUGUUUCUGGUUUUCCGGCUGCUGUGUGUUGGACGCUCACGGUGGUUUACAGUUGUCGUCACACAAAUAGCCUGCAUUUCCUAUGACUGGUAACGAUGUGUAGUACGCCGCCAUAACGCUCCCGCGGUAACUGCACGUGCAAGGGUUUCUGUGAUUUUUGUUAGUUUGGGGCAGAAUACAUCCACUGCUGUGACGGCGCUGCUGUUUUGCCUGGGUCUCAUCUUGAUUAAUUUGGUUACGUUCGUGAGUUUGUUUAUGCCAUAUAUGCUUGUGUGCGUAUGUAUGUGUGUGUGUGUGUGUGUGUGUGUGUGGGGAGGGUUUGUAUUGUGGUUGUGUGAGUUAUUUGUUUCCUUGAGCAGAUAUUUGACUAUCUGUGGUUUUGUUUUUUUUGUUUCGGAGUGUAAUUUUGUUUAGGUUUUUGUUUUCUGUAUUUUGUGAUUUUUGUAAUUUCUUUUGUUGUAUUUUUCAGUCAACUUGUAUAGUGGGAGAGCCCAGCUGUGGUUGUAAUGUGUACACAGAGUGUUGUGAUUUAAUAAGUUUGUUGUGCUUUCACAAGUGUUUUUUUCUUAUUUUCGA